UGCUGGGUUGGAUGAGUGGCGAACGGGUGAGUAACACGUGAGUAACCUGCCCCCUUCUUUGGGAUAACGGUCGGAAGCGGCUGCUAAUACCGGGUAUUCACUGUCCUUCGCAUGGGGGGUGGUGGAAAGGUUUUUUCUGGUGGGGGAUGGGCUCGCGGCCUAUCAGCUUGUUGGUGGGGUGAUGGCUUACCAAGGCUUUGACGGGUAACCGGCCUGAGAGGGUGACCGGUCACAUUGGGACUGAGAUACGGCCCAGACUCCUACGGGAGGCAGCAGUGGGGAAUAUUGCACAAUGGGCGAAAGCCUGAUGCAGCGACGCCGCGUGAGGGAUGACGGCCUUCGGGUUGUAAACCUCUUUCGCUCAUGGUCAAGCCGCAACAGUGGUUGUGGUGAGGGUAGUGGGUAAAGAAGCACCGGCUAACUACGUGCCAGCAGCCGCGGUAAUACGUAGGGUGCGAGCGUUGUCCGGAAUUAUUGGGCGUAAAGGGCUUGUAGGCGGUUUGUCGCGUCUGCCGUGAAAUCCUCUGGCUUAACUGGGGGCGUGCGGUGGGUACGGGCAGGCUUGAGUGCGGUAGGGGAGAC
rnacentral:rRNA from 1 species